AGACCAUGAUGAGGACAAUGCUAAAGUAGUUCUUUGUAUCUUUCCCACGUGUUGUACAACGAUUCAGAAUCUUGCUGCAUAAAUGAUGUGAUAUCAUUCAUCAUUUU
rfam:Theobroma cacao cultivar Matina 1-6 chromosome 1, whole genome shotgun sequence.